rnacentral:rRNA from 1 species
UUUCGAGCGGAUACGAAGAUAGCUUGCUAUCAGGCGUCUAGCGGCGGACGGGUGUAGUAAUGCUUAGGAAUCUGCCCAGUAGUGGGGGAUAGCCCGGGGAAACUCGGAUUAAUACCGCAUACGCCCUUUUGGGGAAAGCAGGGGAUCUUCGGACCUUGCGCUAUUGGAUGAGCCUAAGUCGGAUUAGCUAGUUGGUGGGGUAAAGGCCCACCAAGGCGACGAUCCGUAGCUGGUCUGAGAGGAUGAUCAGCCACAUCGGGACUGAGACACGGCCCGAACUCCUACGGGAGGCAGCAGUGGGGAAUAUUGGACAAUGGGCGCAAGCCUGAUCCAGCCAUGCCGCGUGUGUGAAGAAGGCUUUCGGGUUGUAAAGCACUUUCAGUGAGGAGGAAGGCUUUCAGAUUAAUACUCUGGAGGAUUGACGUCACUCACAGAAGAAGCACCGGCUAACUCCGUGCCAGCAGCCGCGGUAAUACGGAGGGUGCAAGCGUUAAUCGGAAUUACUGGGCGUAAAGCGCGCGUAGGUGGUUGAGUAAGCGAGAUGUGAAAUCCCCGGGCUUAACCUGGGAACGGCAUUUCGAACUGCUCGGCUA